UACAGAGGGGGCAAGCGUUGUUCGGAAUUACUGGGCGUAAAGGGCGCGUAGGCGGCCUGUUAAGUCGAACGUGAAAUCCCCGGGCUCAACCCGGGAACUGCGUCCGAUACUGGAUGGCUUGGAUCCGGAAGAGGGAUGCGGAAUUCCAGGUGUAGCGGUGAAAUGCGUAGAUAUCUGGAGGAACACCUGAGGCGAAGGCGGGUUGCUGGGCCGACACUGACGCUGAGGCGCGAAAGCCAGGGGAGCGAACGGG
rnacentral:rRNA from 1 species